GCACCAAUGGUGUAGCGGCAAUACACACACUCAUGAUGUGGAUAAAAGCGCUCUGGAAGUUAUGAGUGGGUCCGGGUUCGAGUCCCUGUUGGUGCA